CAAAACAGUGUGAAUAGAAAUGGUUUAAUGUCUCAUGGGAUCUGUAAGGAAAGUGCUGGUAUCGUAGUAUGGAUCCCUAAAGAAACAGCUGCAGUUUGCCAUUAAGGCUGUGUAACGGACCGUUUCUCUCACAAGGGGAUAAAAUCGGUUUAGGCGAUAAUCCCCUUUCCCAUAGACCAGCAGCUACUGCAAUCACCAACCUCCUGAACUCCAAACUGCACGUAUUCACCAACUCUCGAACAGCAGACACAGGAACCCUGGAAGCAGCCGAACAGGAAAAGCAAUACAAACGGCUUACACUCCUGGCAGUCAGCACACAAUCCAAUUCCCCCAAUAACGAGACGACACUUCGUUUUGAGGGUUAAGCAGAAUCUGAGGUGCUGGCACACCCAGCCUGGUUUUUAUUACAGUGUUUUCAAAUACAGGACCGCCCACAGGGAGGUAUAAAACAACCAAUAACAUCACAGUUACAUCCCACAUAUUCCCUCCCCUUAUCCUGAGAGGAAACUCAAUUAUACAUACAGUUAAAACAUACUUUCUACCCAACUUUCAUAACUCUAAAACCAUACAUCACAUUCACAUAAAAUUACACAUUCACAAUCAAUCCAUUCAGGGGAACAACAUAUUAAAAAAUGGCACAAAUCAGACAAGGGGUUCAAAAGUUAGUAAAAAGUCCUUUGUGACUAAAUGAAGCAUGGCUUUCUGGCCCAAACCAGUUUCAGAGUCUUCUAUCCUGGAGAUAAGUAAUUCAAUUAUCUCCCAGGACAGACACAAGACUCCAUUAAGCACAUGGUUGCAAAAAGACACAAAACACUUUAAAAUACAUAAAGUCACCUUUUAUACAUAAAACACAGACAUUUCACAUAUCCCCAGAUAGCUCAGGUCUGAGCGCACAUUAUUAAGUGAAUGGCGCUCAGAACCACACGAAUACAGUUUAAUCGCCAUGGAGCCAAAGUCUUUACAGUCAGUUUCAUACAAAUGGGCUCCAUGGGAUUCCUAUCUGGGGUAUAACACAUUCAAACACAUCUACCGAACCCCAGGCAGAAAAGCACGAAUACAGCUUUUCUGCAGGCAAAAAUAAAGUCUUUUAAAAGGGGGCCAUAGUCAGAUGGCAGGAGGCUGGCAACCAGGCUUCUCCAGUGCACAGUGGCGAGGUUGGUUUCGCCACAUUUCUCCCCUUUACCAAUCAGACUAACAGGGUAUCUGACCUCCUGCCGGUCAGUGCCCUUGUUAGUCCAGCAGCCCACCCACAAAACACAAUCAGUAAUACAGCCCACCCACAAUAACUGGCUACUACACCUGGGUAGAGGAGAACUUUGUCCGUGUCCAGGUGCCUCACCAUGGCUGUGUGGGUGACUGGUCAGCGUACUGGGUGGGUUGCUGAGUGGGCAGAGACCAGCGGUACUCUGUCCUGGUGCCAGCACUACCACGGGAGUAGUCUGGUUGGAGCCUGGUUGCUGGAGGGGGGGACAGACUGUCUCCCCUUUGCCUAAACAGUCCUGCUGCUGGGGGACAGGACCGACUGUUCCUACCCCCGGUGGUGCAUGUGCAGAGACCACUGUCCCCUCUGCACUGUUGUGGAGAUUACUGUCUCCCCUUGGUGGGCUAAGCUGCCGCUGGGGAGAGGGGGUAACAAGCUCCUCUCCCAUACAUACUUUCAGCCGCUGGGGAGAGGGGAUAACAAGCUCUUCUCCCUGACACUCUCUCUGCUGUUGAAGGGGGAGACCGACUGUCUCCCCUUUCAAUAAUUUGUCCUGUUGCUGGGGAGAGGUGAUAACUGGUUCCUCUCCCUGGAACACUCUCUGCUGUUGGAGGGGGGGACCAACUGUCUCCCCUUUUAAUAAAUUGUCCUGCUGCUGGGGAGCGAGACCGACUGUCUCCGCUUCCUGCAGAACACACUGCCGCUGGGGAGGGAGGACGACACCUUCAGCUCCCUGGGGUACACACUGCCGCUGGGGAGGAAGGACGGCACCUUCAGCUCCCUGGGGUACACACUGCCGCUGGGGAGGAAGGACGGUACCUUCAGCUCCCUGGGAUACACACUGCUGCUGGGGAGGAAGGACGGUACCUUCAGCUCCCUGGGAUACCCACUGCCGCUGGGGAGGAAGGACGGCACCUUCUGCUCGCUGGGACACACACUGCCGCUGGGGAGGAAGGACGACACCUUCAGCUCCCUGGGAUACACACUGCCGCUGGGGAGGAAGGACGGCACCUUCUGCUCCCUGGGACACACACUGCCGCUGGGGAGGAAGGACUGCACCUUCAGCUCCCUGGGAUACACACCGCCGUUGGGGAGGAAGGACGAUACCUUCAGCUCCCUGGGAUACACACUGCCGCUGGGGAGGAAGGACGACACCUUCAGCUCCCUGGGAUACACACUGCCGCUGGGGAGGAAGGACGACACCUUUGGCUCCCUGGGACACACACUGCCGCUGGGGAGGAAGGACGACACCUUCAGCUCCCUGGGGUACACACUGCCGCUGGGGAGGAAGGACUGCACCUUCAGCUCCCUGGUAUACACACUGCCGCUGGGGAGGGAGGACAACACCUUCCGCUCCCUGGGACACACACUGCCGCUGGGGAGGAAGGACGACACCUUUGGCUCCCUGGGACUCACACUGCUGCUGGGGAGGAAGGACUGCACCUUCAGCUCCCUGGGAUACACACUGCCGCUGGGGAGGAAGGACGACACCUUUGGCUCCCUGGGAUACACACUGCCGCUGGGGAGGAAGGACGACACCUUUGGCUCCCUGGGACACACACUGCCGCUGGGGAGGAAGGACGACACCUUUGGCGCGAUCUGCCACGACCUGCAGGUACUCUGCUACAUGUCCCCUCACGCGCUGCACGAAUUCCUCAGAGGGGACAAAUGUAACAAGAGCCAGCCGCAAUUUAAGCUCUCGGUCAAACUCCUCCUGAGUGUAGCUGGGCGCCAUGUUUGCUCUGCCGAAGUUGGUUCCUUUGUAGAUAGGGUCGCUGUACGGGUACUAACGUUGCCCUCAAUUGUAAUCCAGGCACUGGUGUUGUCUUGUAGCUGUCCUUCUGGUUGUAGGAACGAUCCCGCCGCUUGCCACCAAUUGUAACGGACCGUUUCUCUCACAAGGGGAUAAAAUCGGUUUAGGCGAUAAUCCCCUUUCCCAUAGACCAGCAGCUACUGCAAUCACCAACCUCCUGAACUCCAAACUGCACGUAUUCACCAACUCUCGAACAGCAGACACAGGAACCCUGGAAGCAGCUGAACAGGAAAAGCAAUACAAACGGCUUACACUCCUGGCAGUCAGCACACAAUCCAAUUCCCCCAAUAACGAGACGACACUUCGUUUUGAGGGUUAAGCAGAAUCUGAGGUGCUGGCACACCCAGCCUGGUUUUUAUUACAGUGUUUUCAAAUACAGGACCGCCCACAGGGAGGUAUAAAACAACCAAUAACAUCACAGUUACAUCCCACAUAUUCCCUCCCCUUAUCCUGAGAGGAAACUCAAUUAUACAUACAGUUAAAACAUACUUUCUACCCAACUUUCAUAACUCUAAAACCAUACAUCACAUUCACAUAAAAUUACACAUUCACAAUCAAUCCAUUCAGGGGAACAACAUAUUAAAAAUGGCACAAAUCAGACAAGGGGUUCAAAAGUUAGUAAAAAGUCCUUUGUGACUAAAUGAAGCAUGGCUUUCUGGCCCAAACCAGUUUCAGAGUCUUCUAUCCUGGAGAUAAGUAAUUCAAUUAUCUCCCAGGACAGACACAAGACUCCAUUAAGCACAUGGUUGCAAAAAGACACAAAACACUUUAAAAUACAUAAAGUCACCUUUUAUACAUAAAACACAGACAUUUCACAUAUCCCCAGAUAGCUCAGGUCUGAGCGCACAUUAUUAAGUGAAUGGCGCUCAGACCACACGAAUACAGUUUAAUCGCCAUGGAGCCAAAGUCUUUACAGUCAGUUUCAUACAAAUGGGCUCCAUGGGAUUCCUAUCUGGGGUAUAACACAUUCAAACACAUCUACCGAACCCCAGGCAGAAAAGCACGAAUACAGCUUUUCUGCAGGCAAAAAUAAAGUCUUUUAAAAGGGGGCCAUAGUCAGAUGGCAGGAGGCUGGCAACCAGGCUUCUCCAGUGCACAGUGGCGAGGUUGGUUUCGCCACAGGCUGUGAGCAUAAUGUCACAUAAAGCAGGGCUUGACAAAUUUGCUUUCAAUCUAGGAGCCAGCUAAAAAAUGUUAGGAGCCAUUAUUUUCCCCCCAACUACAAAAAUACAAUUCUUAAAGGGACACUAUACUCACC
rnacentral:lncRNA from 1 species